rnacentral:tRNA from 1 species
GCCGGUGUAGCUCAGUAGGUAGAGCAGCGCGUUCGUAAUGCGAAGGUCGCAGGUUCGACUCCUGUCUCCGGCACCA